AACGCGAAGAACCUUACCAGCCUUUGACAUGCCUCGGACGGUUACCAGAGAUGGUUUCUUCUCUUCGGAGCCGAGGACACAGGUGCUGCAUGGCUGUCGUCAGCUCGUGUCGUGAGAUGUUGGGUUAAGUCCCGCAACGAGCGCAACCCACGCCCUUAGUUGCCAUCAUUAAGUUGGGCACUCUAGGGGGACUGCCGGUGAUAAGCCGAGAGGAAGGUGUGGAUGACGUCAAGUCCUCAUGGCCCUUACGGGCUGGGCUACACACGUGCUACAAUGGCGGUGACAAUGGGACGCGAAAGGGUGACCUUUAGCAAAUCUCAAAAAGCCGUCUCAGUUCGGAUUGUACUCUGCAACUCGAGUACAUGAAGGUGGAAUCGCUAGUAAUCGUAGAUCAGAACGCUA
rnacentral:rRNA from 1 species